GGAUAAAAACAUCUCAAUUUUGUUCUUUGAGGACUUUUUUGUUCUAACAAGUAACAAUUUAGAUAUCACCUGGUUUUAAAAAAAUCUCUCUCACACUCACACACUCACACAGUAACAGUAUUCAAUUAAGUACCGUUACUUGCGUCCAAUCUAUGUUUUCCCGCAACCUUUUUUUUCCAUUACUUAGAUACUACAAUAACCCCACACUUCUCCUUCUACUAACCUUUUUUAAAAUUAGGCACGUCUGUAAAAAAAAAAAAGUCCUUCUAUUUACCGUUACUUUUUCAUUGUUCCACCGAGUUCGUCUAUUUCUAGACCUGCUCGUUUAAACACCAGUUACUUAGAUCGUAAAUAAACUUAGUUCUGUAAUUUCUGGUUGUGAAAAUGUCGCGAAGUCUUUUGAUUUUACUCAUAGCAUUGGUUUCAAAUUCAGUCUAUUCUGUCGGUUUGGAAGUAUCCUAUAAAAACAAUUCGCUUGUGCCAAUCAACCUAAACAAAAUGUGUUCCGUGCCAUGUUUUGAUACAGCUGAUGAAGUUGAAUGGAUGGUGGAUGCGUACAAACCCGAUUAUUCAAUUCAGGUGGAUUCACCGAACAAAAAGUAUCUCAUAAUAAAAAAGGCUUCGAUCUAUGAUACUGGUGUUUAUACAUGCGUAUCUAAGAAGAACCCAGAUGUAUUUUCAAACAUUGUUGUUCACGUUAAAAUAUUCCCACGAAUCAAUGCUACUUAUGACCUACCAAUUGAAUUGUGUUGAUGUUCGAUAAAAUUUGAAGCACCAUUCAACUUCUUCGCCUAACCAAAAUACAGUACUACACCUAUCUCGUAUGUCAAAUUACGAGUGUAUACGAAUCACAUCUUCAUCGGUAAACCGUCAUUCAUAUGCAUGCAUCAUGAGAAGCUGAAAUGAAUAUUUUUCGUGAAUAUUAGUUCUUGUUCUUGAAGUUUACUGAACAUCACCGUCUAGAGAUUGAGAUUCUCUCGGGAGGGGGUAAGAUGAAACUUCCUUAAACAUAGAGUUUUUGCUCAUAUCUGCAUUGGAGUGCCAGAAGUGCAUCUUAAGAGAAAAUCAGUGGCGUUGAAACAUGUUCCUGAUGAAAAAUCCUAUGCGGAGAGUUCAUAACACUUUUUAAAAUUCUGUAAAACUUCAAAAAGACCCAUUUCCUUUUUCUUUCGUAUCAGCAAAAAAAAACACACACUUUCUGCAUGAACUUUCCGGGAAAGAAUUUUUCUCAAGGAACAUUUUUGAACAUAAUCGAUUCUUUACUAAGAUGCGUUUUUUUUUUGGAUUUAGGAAUGAAAAACACCUUAUUGAGGGAGUUAUACAAUACAUCCCCUAACGUAGAAUUGCUCGUAUAUUCGCCAGAAACCGCUAACUAUUUGAAGAACUAUUUUCUGAAAAAUCAAUUUCUUAUUUGAUUGGGCUUCUCUAGUACCAUACCCACCUUGGCAUAAAAUAAUUAAUUACAAAAUCGACUCUGUACUUUGUAUAAUUAACAAAAAAAAAUUGUAUUUGUAUGAUACUUACCUACUAAGUGUAACGUAAAAGUAUGUACUAAGGUGAUCAUUUUGAAAAUAUAUCCUUUCUCUUCUAGACGUA